UCGAUACCUGCACAGGCAGACCGUGAACCCGUUUUAAUACAUAGGGCUCGUUGUGUGGGGUAACUCCACAGCGUGUCCUUCUCUCGCAUGGGCAAUGCUCACUGUGGGCAAACAAACCCCGGCGCAAAGUGCGCCAAGGAAAACUAAAAGGAGCAUCUGCCCCUAUCGCCCCGUUUGCACGGUGUGAGGGGGCAAAGGAUGUGCCUCGAAUGUCUAAAUGACUCUCGACAACGGAUAUCUCGGCUCUCGCAACGAUGAAGAACGUAGCGAAAUGCGAUACUUGGUGUGAAUUGCAGAAUCCCGUGAACCAUCGAGUCUUUGAACGCAAGUUGCGCCCGAAGCCUAUUGGGCCGAGGGCACGCCUGCCUGGGCGUCACGCAUUGCGUUGCCCCCUUCCCGUGGUGAAUGGAUGGGGGUGGAUAAUGGCCUCCCGUGCGCUUCAGCUCACGGUUGGCUUAAAUGAAAUCACGUGGCGACCACUGUCACGACAAGCGUUGGUUGAGCAAUCCACUCUCUGCUUUCGUGUUGGACGGUGUGCUUUGUCCUCGUAGCCCUGACGGCGUGACAUGCUCGCGCCAUUGAACGCGA
rnacentral:rRNA from 1 species